rnacentral:rRNA from 1 species
GACGAACGCUGGCGGCGUGCUUAACACAUGCAAGUCGAGCGAUGAAACACCUUCGGGUGCGGAUUAGCGGCGAACGGGUGAGGAACACGUGAGGAAUCUGCCUUCCACUCUGGGAUAACUCCGGGAAACCGGGGCUAAUACCGGAUACUUUCAACUGGCGGCAUCGCCGGUUGAAGAAAGUUUUUCGGUGGAAGAUGACCUCGCGGCCUAUCAGCUUGUUGGUGUGGUAAAGGCUCACCAAGGCGACGACGGGUAGCCGGCCUGGGAGGGCGACCGGCCACACUGGGACUGAGACACGACCCAGACUCCUACGGGAGGCAGCAGGGGGGAAUAUUGGGCAAUGGAGGAAACUCUGACCCAGCGGCGCCGCGUGAGGGAUGAAGGCCUUCGGGUUGUAAACCUCUUUCAGCAGGGAAUAAGCGAAAGUGAAGGUACCUGCAGAAGAAGCACCGGCUAACUAUGUGCCAGCCGCCGCAGUAA